UACGGAGGAUCCGAGCGUUAUCCGGAUUUAUUGGGUUUAAAGGGUGCGUAGGCGGCCUUUUAAGUCAGCGGUGAAAGUCUGUGGCUCAACCAUAGAAUUGCCGUUGAAACUGGGGGGCUUGAGUAUGUUUGAGGCAGGCGGAAUGCGUGGUGUAGCGGUGAAAUGCAUAGAUAUCACGCAGAACCCCGAUUGCGAAGGCAUCUCACGAAUCCGCGAUUGACGCUGAUGCACGAAAGCGUGGGUAUCAAACAGG
rnacentral:rRNA from 1 species